AGAGAGAGAGAGAGAUGUGAGUAGGAAUGUCUAUUAAAUAGCCAUUCAUAGCACCAGAAGAGUUAGCGUUCUUGGCACGUCUUCCUGGACUGUCACCCUAAUACAUAUGAAUUACAAGUUUCGAUACAGGUCUUACUUUUAUACAAAAAAUUAACACUUUUAACAUGUUUAAAUCAAUACUUUGAUGGCGUUUACAACCAAGAAACGUUUAAAAGGUCAGGCAGGAAUCAACGCCCUUAUUUAAUAUAAAUGUAGUUUUUGAUAUUUUCGAUCCUCACAAUGUCAGGGGUCUUGAGCUCGAGUCCACUCGCAGCCGUUGGGCCCCCGAUAAACUUAAUUGAAAUUUGGCGGGCUGACUACAGCGACAUCUUUCGGGGAGUGGACUCCAGACAUUUAGAGGAUGGAUAAUUACAUACUUACAUGUAGUACCCCUCCACGGCUCCCUAUAAACUCCAUAACUCUGAAUGGUCUUGGAAUAUUUCUAAUAGACCAAAACAUUAUAUAUAAAGAGUUAUAACUGUCAGAGAACUGGGAGAAGGAAGCGAUGUGCUUUUUAAAAAAAAUAUAGCAGAGAUGUUACAUGGUCUUAUGUGUAGGAACUGCUUGGAAUGUCCAAUUCUACAGCAUAACACAAAAGCGACACCCCCCCCCCCAAAAAAAAAGA
rnacentral:sRNA from 1 species